rnacentral:rRNA from 1 species
CCUACGGGUGGCAGCAGUCGAGAAUCAUUCACAAUGGGGGAAACCCUGAUGGUGCGACGCCGCGUGGGGGAAUGAAGGUCUUCGUAUUGUAAACCCCUUCCAUGUGGGAGCAAAUUAGAAAGAUAGUACCACAAGAGGAAGAGACGGCUAACUCGGUGCCAGCAGCCGCGGUAAUACAGAGGGCGCAAUCGUUGUUCGGAAUGACUGGGCGUAAAGCGUGCGCAGGCGGUUUCGUAAGACGUGUGCGAAAGGCGCGGGCGCAACCCCCGGACGGCACAUGAUACUGGGGGACUAGAGUGAUGGAGGGGGAACCGGAAUUCUCGGUGUAGCAGUGAAAUGCGUAGAUAUUGGGAGGAACACUCGUGGCGAAGGCGGGUUCCUGGACAUUAACUGACGCUGAGGCUCGAAGGCGAGGGGAGCGAAAGGGAUUAGAUACCCUUGUAGUC